GACGAACGCUGGCGGCGUGCUUAACACAUGCAAGUCGAACGAAGAGCGAUGGAAGCUUGCUUCUAUCAAUCUUAGUGGCGCACGGGUGAGUAACGCGUAAUCAACCUGCCCUUCAGAGGGGGACCACAGUUGGAAACGACUGCUAAUACCGCAUACGAUCCAAUCUCGGCAUCGGGACUGGAUGAAAGGUGGCCUCUAUUUAUAAGCUAUCACUGAAGGAGGGGAUUGCGUCUGAUUAGCUAGUUGGAGGGGUAACGGCCCACCAAGGCGAUGAUCAGUAGCCGGUCUGAGAGGAUGAACGGCCACAUUGGGACUGAGACACGGCCCAGACUCCUACGGGAGGCAGCAGUGGGGAAUCUUCCGCAAUGGACGAAAGUCUGACGGAGCAACGCCGCGUGAGUGAUGACGGCCUUCGGGUUGUAAAGCUCUGUUAAUCGGGACGAAUGGUUCUUGUGCGAAUAGUGCGAGGAUUUGACGGUACCGGAAUAGAAAGCCACGGCUAACUACGUG
rnacentral:rRNA from 1 species